ACCAUAUAAUCCAACAACUCCACUCCUUUCAAAUUCAGAGAACUGAAAGCAGGGACUUGAACAGAUACUUACCUGUACAUGACUAUUCACAGCAUCCUGAUUCACAAAACCUAAAGGUGUAUCCACGGACAAAUGAAUGAACAAAGAAAACAUGAUCCAUCCAUACAGUGGAAUAUUAGUCAGCCUUCAAAAGGAAGUACGGUCCAGCCAGGGUGGCUCAGUGGUUGAGCAUUGACCUCUGAACCAGAAUGUCAUCAUUCGAUUCUGGUUAGGGCACAUGCCCGGGUUACGGGCUCGAUCUUCAGUGUAGGGCAUGCUGGAGGCAGCCGACCAAUGAUUCUUUCUCAUCAUUGAUGUUUCUCUCUCUCUCUCCCUUUCCCUUCUUCUGUGAAAUCAAUAAAAAUAUAUU